AACGAACGCUGGCGGCAUGCCUAACACAUGCAAGUCGAACGGAUGGUCGCAAGACCAUUAGUGGCGGACGGGUGCGUAACGCGUGGGAACCUGCCUUGAAGUUCGGAAUAACUGCGGGAAACUGCAGCUAAUACCGGAUGUGGCCUGCGGGCCAAAGGGGAAACUCGCUUCAAGAGGGGCCCGCGUCCGAUUAGCUAGUUGGCGGGGUAACGGCCCACCAAGGCGAUGAUCGGUAGCUGGCUGAGAGGACGACCAGCCACACCUGGAACUGAGAUACGGUCCAGACUCCUACGGGAGGCAGCAGUGGGGAUAUUGGACAAUGGGGGCAACCCUGAUCCAGCAAUGCCGCGUGAGUGAUGAAGGCCCUCGGGUCGUAAAGCUCUGUGGA
rnacentral:rRNA from 1 species